GAAAGAGAGAUUCUUUGAGUUGAGAUUACACAUUACAUUAGAGUCAUGGGAGUAUUCACAAUGUUCUCCUUUUAAGCAUGAGCCAUGGAUAAAGAACUUGCAGAGUAUCCUGUUAACAAACAAAGAAAAGAUCAUUGAAUCAUCAUCAAGAAACCAAGAAGCUCCAAUGAUCAAUCAAAAGAGUCAAACUUUGUUCUCCAGAAACCAAGAAGCUCAAGUAAUCAAUCAAAAAGAGUCAAACUUUGUCAUCAAGAAACCAAGAAGCUCCACUAAUCAAUCAAAAGAGUCAAACUUUAUCCUCCAGAAACCGUAGCAGCUCAAGUAAUCAAUCAAAAGGGGAUUGAAAGACUUAACAUAGGUUGAAGAACAGAGCCCUUGAGAGAUGAAGAAGUUUAGAUUUACCUGUCGGACAUGUGGGGAUUGUGCGAGGAAGAAGGGAUUCAAAGAAAAGGUGAGGGAAAGAGAAAGAGAAAGAAUCACAAUGAAAGGUGAAAGCUUUUUAUAUUUGGAGAAUUUUCAGAGAUUUUUUUCUACGGUUUUUCAAUUUUUGAGGGAAGUUUUUAUUUAGAUCUCUUCAUUUUCGUCUUUACUAAAUUAUCUUUUUUUCUAUUGGUGAAAAAACACACAAAACAAAAAUCUAAAUUGCUUUCAGAAAUAAUAGAUUCAAAUAUUCUUUUCAUUUCCAAAAGUAAAAUUUUAAAGAUUUUUUUAGUUUCAUAAAAAUGAAUUUUCUAUAUUUUAAUAUGUUUCGUAUACUUAUAAGAAAUAUUAAUUAGAUGUCAAAUUUUUAAAUUGAAUGAUAAUAAUUAUUAAAAAGCUUUAUGAUAAAAAUAAAUAAUAAAUAAUUAUAAAUAUUUAUUGUAUUCUAGAUAAUAGUGUUGAACAACUAUAUGUAUGUAUACAAACACAACACAGGAGACAAGACCAGCUCUCUCUCUUGCCUUUUACUCCACAUAUAUUACAAACAUUCUCUCUCACACACUGUUACAAACACACACACACACACAUGCACACACCAAAUCCUUGCAACCAAGU